GGGCCAGAGUUCGGUCCUCUGACUUGACAC
rnacentral:misc_RNA from 1 species